UUUUUUUUUAGGUUUUUUAAUUUAUUAGACUAAAAAUUCCAUUUAAUCUAAUCCAAUUUAAAGUAAAAUAAGAUGCGAAAUUUGUCAUAUGAAAGCAAUAAUAUUAAGUCAUUAUAUUUUUUAUAUAUAUUAUACUAGCGUACAGACGGACACAUGUGAAUGCCCGUCUUUCCGCUCUUUUUAUUUCCCUAACGCUGUAGAUUAUCAACGAAGUUUUAUAGAAAUUUUGCAUGUAAAUAACAAACGAUAUUUUAUGUACUUUUUUUAGAUUAGAUUAUAAAUAUAUAUAUUUGUGACUUUCAAAUGUAACAAACUAAAAAAUCAUAUUUAUAUUUUUAAAUGACAACAAUAAUAUAACAAAUAUAACAAAAAUUCUUAUAUAUAUAUUUUUUAAUAAACCAACAAUAUAACAAUUGUAAAAAAAAAAAAAAACCAACAGUAUAACAUUAUUAUAAAAAAAAAAUUGUUUAAAAAUAUAAAUGAAAUAACAAAAAAGUCAGCCCAAAAUCUCCCCAACAUCCCCUAUUCUCUUUAUAGAUUAAUAGUGUUGGAAAAUGAGAAAGUUAUGGUGAAUUUUUCAAAGGAAUUGAGAAAAAGAGAAGAAUUUGAGAGAAAGACUAUGUUGCUUGAGAGAAAGUUAUUGGUUUGAACUUGGUAGCUAUUAAUUAAUUUGGCCUAACACUUCAAGAAAUAAGUGAGACUCUUAAGACAAAAUGUUUUUGAACUGCUAUAAGGAUGACCCUUUUUAACCAAGUGAACUUUGUUUUUCAUUUUGGGUGAAAUGGGUGGAUUUGAAGAAGAUGGUUAUAGGUGGAAGAGGCCCUCUCCUAUCUUUAUUACUCUUUGCGUUGGAUACUAUGUAUUGUUUGUUUGGAAUUAGGAUCACGUAGAAAAAGCUAAAAUCUAAUUGCAAAGAUGGCAUGAUUGAGCUAUUUUGUCAGAGCAAACUAUACAUGACCUUGAUUGGGCCCCUAAAAAUAAGUCGUUAUUUUGUUUUACUAUUUCGCACUUUUGUAUUUUUUGGAUUUUAAUUCUUUGUGAUAAUUAUUUUUGAAUUUUGUUGUAAUUAAAGAUAAACCAAUGAGAUAAAAGAACAAUCUAAAUGAAGUUCAAUUUUAUAUUUUUAAAAUUCUUUUUUCAUUUCUCUCAAAAAAAAUAAAAUUCUUUUUUCAUAAAACUAAGCAUGAGAUGAUAAAAUGUGUGAAGACUUAUUAUUUCAACUUUUUGAAUUAGUCAGAUAAAAUUGGAGUUCGAACACUUUAUGAUUUAUUUUUACUUCCAUGAUAAGACAAAAUUUAGAUGAAUUAAAUGACGACGACUCAUCAUGAUUAGGGAAAGAAUCAAGAUACAAGAGUGCUUACACAACGUUAACACACUAGCAUUCUCACAACUCAAUUCAUGGAAAUGUUGGUUCAUGAAUCUUUUGUUCAGUCAAACACAAAUAUUAAAUAAUUCCCCAAACAUUGUGAAUAAAUAUUACUAUCUCCGUUUCUAAUUAUAAGAUUAUUUUGAGAUUUUCUUUUUUAUCUUUUUUUAUAAGACCCCUUUGUUAUUUCCAACUAUAUUAACUUUACAUACAUGUCCCUAUUUAUUAUACAUAUUUUUCUUCAAUCAGCAAUAAAUAGUAUAUGGAAAACAUAAACUAACUCUCUCUCUUGAAGGAUAAAAUUGUAAAAACAAUAGUGAUUACAAACAACUUUAAUACAAAUAUCCACUUUUUUAAUUCCCGCAAUUUUAGCAAAGGGGUCUUAUAUAAAGGGACAGAGGUAGUAUAUGUUUCUUUCAAAAAAAAAAAUUAUAUGUGUACAGUCCCCGUGAGCAUAGCUCAGUUGACAGAGACAUGCAUUGUUAUAUGCAGGGACUGGUGUUCGAACUCCGAACACCCCACUUAUUCACCUUAAAAAAAGGUGAAUUCUAACUACUAAACUACUUAAAAAAAAUAUAUAUGUGUACAUGCAUGAAAUAAAUAUGUUUUCAAAGACAAUGAAACUAUCCCAACAAACUCAAUUCAAACACAAAUUUAUGUUUUCUAGUCUGGUAGAUCACAAAAGUGGAAAGGUAAGGUGUCUAGAAUGAUGCCAAUAAUAUCAACGGCUUAGUUAUUAUAAAUAAACGAUCUUGUUAACGAGUGCCACAAGAUAUUCUUUAAGGAUUCUAAAAGAAGAAAUAAAUUUUUAAAAAAGUCAAAAAUUUCAAUUUUCGAUGCAUUAAUUACACAUAUUUUCAUAAUAAGUUACUCCCUUCGUUCCUUUUUAAGUGUCUCUUUUGAAGAAAUUUUUUGUUCCUAUUUAACUGUCACUUUCAAAGUUCAAUGCAUCAUUAAAUGUUUUACCAAUAUUAUCUUUUGUUAUUUAUUGCGGAGAGAGAAAUAUAUGAAAUGAUAUGUUAAAUUAAUAAGGUCAUUAUAGUAAAAGUAUAACUUAUUGCAUCAAAAGUAGAAACAAUUAUUGAUUGUCUUGAUUUGUGUAAAAUGUUAAAAAGUGACAAUUAAAAAAGAACAGAGAUAGUACUAUUUAAAGACCUUAACCAGUGUCCCGGAGUACUUGUUAACAUUUUUCAUAAAUAAAUAAUAGAGUAAUAGUUAUUAUAAAUCAUUACAUGUAUUGAUUAUUAUUUUUGAAAAAACGAAUUCAUGUGAUAUAGGUCCGACUCCAUAAUGCAUUGGAAGUUUGGAACAUCACUACCAACUCGAGCUAGUCAAACUUUAAUUCUAAUAAUUAUAUUCGAAAAGUUCCAUAAAUGCAGUUGGUAGUUAUCAGAGAUAAUUUAUGCAGGGAUCGAUGUUUGAACCUCGAAUUCUCCACUUCUCCACACAUAAUGUGUAUGAAUUUAGCCACUAGGUUACUUGACAAAAAAAAAAAAAAUCAUAUGCAAAAUUUUUUAUAAGUCUUAAUUAAGAACCCUUCUAAACGAGUUGAGAUCAUCUUCUUUCUUCUAUUUGAAGAGAUAAAUGUACAUAAAUUUAAAUAAUAAUAAUCAUAAUAAUAAUAAAUAAUAAUUUUUUUUUGAAUAAAUAAUAAUUAAUGAUAGUAGGAUCCAUUAUUUUUUUAUUUUAUUUAUCUCUUUAAAAAAUAUCAUCUACUUAUUAUAAAAAAAUGAAGGUGUUAAUUGUCAUGGACUUUUCCAAUUAGCUUGAAGCCAUAGAUCUCACUUUUAAAGAUUGCAUUUGGGCGGUUGGAUAAUGUGCAACCCAAAUGUGGUUUGAGUCUAUAAUAUAUUGUCAUAAGCCUCUCAAAAUAUACCACGAAAUACAAAUUUCAGCGAUGUUAAUGUGGUUCAUUUAAAUGAUUAGAUAAUCUAUAUGCUCAACAUGUACAAUGCAUGUCGAAGUACUCUUUUUGCUCAAAUGAGAAAAACUUCUUUUAGGUUACAAAGAGGUUUAUGUGAAUUGAGCUUCAAGAGCUCGUUAAGGUAAAUACAAUACUUUAAGACUCAACAAACACUAACAAAUAUACUUAUAAAUUAUACAUUAAAUAGAUCCUUAAUAACAUUUGAAGUUGAACUCAUAACUUUGUGAUGAGCUCAAUUCCUUAACCACUAAAUCAAGGUCAGUCCAAAAAUAAACUCAAUUAUAUCAUGCAAUACCUGAAUGACAAAUUAGCAGGAAAGGAAGCUUGACAAGUGCGAUUGAUUUGCUAAAAAAUAAAGGACAUGAAAAAACAACUUCAAUUAUCCGGUGUUUGAUUUAUAAAACUGUUUCAGGUACAAAACAAACUGGAGGCAAGGGACAGGAUAAAAAUGAUAUUUUUGUCCCUUACCAAACCACAACACAACUUUUUGUCCCACGUUCAAGUUGUCUAAAAUACCAAAAUAACAUUUCGUCCCCCAAAAAUCAUAUAAAACAAAAAAAAAUGUUCAAUGCUAUUAAAACUUGUCAUGUACUGUUCUGUCUUGUGUUGUGCUAUUCUAUCUUGUAUUGUUCUAUCCAGUGCUUCAUGUUUUGCAAACCAAACACACCCUGUAUGAAUUUUCAAGGUCAAAUGCAUCCAAAGGUCCUUUAAGUUUUUCAUUUUUCUCAAAGUCGUCCUUUAAGUUUUAAAAGUCCCAAACAAGUCCUUUUAGUUUUUGAAUCGUUUCAAACAUGUCCUAUUGUAGAUAGCAUAGUUGGUAAUUGCUUCCUUGAACUCAUUUUUGGUACCAAAUCUGGCUCCUAACACCCACUUAAAAUUAGUCAUCUUUUUAAGCAUGGCAAAUGGUGGAUAAUGCUCUUUGUUGCUAUCAUUCAAAUCAUCACCGUCAUCCUUUAAAAGCACUUGUUUGAAACGAUUCAAAACCUAAAAGGACUUGUUUGAGAUUUUUGAAACUUAAAAGGACUUGUUUGGGACUUUUGAAACUUAAAGGACGAAAAACAAAAAACUUAAAGGACCUUUAGAUGCAUUUGACCAAUUUUCAACUAAUGUUUAUCAUUAAUUAGCAUGGAUGAAAAGAAACUAAUUUGUCCACAAUAUAGACAUCCUUUGUCCCAACCACCAACUCAACAAAAUAUAAAAUGGUUGUUUUUAAAAUUUUAAAGAUUAAUAUUUCCAAGUGUAUCAUCUUAUUUCCAUCACCUAUUUCCACUCGUCCACAAAGUUGAUUCCCAUUUUGCAAAACCCUAAAAAAAGUAGUACUAGUAAGAACAAAAAAAUAUCGUAAAACUAGAAGUAACACAUGACAUGAAUAUGUGUCAUUGACCAUUAUUACGUAGAAGCAACGCUUGUUGUGGUAGCGUAGUUUACACGCGCGGUUGCAUGUUUAUUGCAUGUUCGGUAGAGUAACAAACACCAACAAUGUUUUGUAUUUCAAGACACAUUUCUUCAAUUAAUAGCCUCAUCAUGAAUCUACUCAAACCUUAAACAACUUUACUCCCCAAAUACUAGAUUGUGAGUAUAUCAUUUCUUCGAUGAAUUUGAAAAAAAUAUUUGCAUAUACUAUACUAUCAGAGGAAGUAUACUUUUUAAAUGAGUGUCGUUUACCGAUACAAAGGUUAUAAAAUGCAAUAAAGUUACAAAAAAUGAUAUUUAUAAAACCAUUUUGAGACAAUUAUGAAUCAACUCGAUCUCAAGUUUGCAUUAAUAAAACACAUUUGACAUCAUUAUUGAAAAAACUCGCAUAGGCAUAUGAGAUAUGUUCAUAUACUUUCUUCUUUCACUUCUUCUUUUAAGUCUAAAUUCUCAAAUAUAAAAAUCUCAUAACCAAAAUAUUUAAUUUUUGCAGCGAUGCUGUCUUAGAAGCAAUAGUUCGAAUUUAAGAACAUAUAUAAAACAAUGAGUUAUUAAGUUCUAUUGUUAGGUGUGAUGACCGGACACCUGAAUGCUGUCCAUUUCACGAAACUUAUGGCUCGUAAAGUCAUAAAAUGUAGCAUAAAUGACAACAAUGCAACAAAAGUAUAACUUAAAGGUCAAAAUAUAACAAAAUAUAACAUAAAAGGUCAAUUCGAAAAAAAAUAAUUUUUUUCCUAAGUACAAAGUGAAACAUAAUAUUUUUAGUGUGUAUGCAUAGUAUUUAAUAGAUGGUACAACUGAAAAAAAUAAUAAUCAAUCUUAAAUGACAUUUAUUUAAAAAUAAAUUUUAUUUGCUAAAACAUUCAAUGUGAAAUGGAUAGAGUAAUAUUAAUAUGUGACAGAAGGUAGAAUUACUAAAAACAAAGUGUGUUCAACACUAAAUUAUUUAUUUAUUUAAAAAGUGUUACUUUCAAAGUCACUUUGAUCUGGCUAGCCAUCACAAUCAACAAGGUAGUUUCAAUAGUUUAACACCAAACAAUCUGUUCUGAGUACCAAAUCAAUUAUAUUAAAUCUUGUCCAACAAAACGAGCCAACCUUAUUUUAAUCAAAUUAACUUUGAAAUUCCCCCCUUAGCUUUGAUAUUGCUAUAUUAUAUAUAUUCCACUGAGUUAAUGUGCCUUGGAAUGUGUAAUUUGAUGUUAACCAGUGAACAAAAUAAAAAAAUACAAAACUCAAAUAUUUUAUGGUUUUAGAAAUAUUGUUCUAUGAGGUUGGUCCAGUAAGUAAGAAAUUGUUUCAUACUUUCAAUGUCGUGACCUAAACUUUUGUUUAAGUGUCUAACAAGUACGUUUGUUUUGAGGUCUGCUCUGACUCUAGUAAGUCAUUUCGCCCAAACUUUUCCAACAUAAACAAAAAAGAAAUAUUGUUUGUGACUAGUGACUAUUGACCUUAUUUCAGUUUUUGUCAUCUUUAGCAGAUUUCUGAUUUUUCCAUUCCACCACCUCUAUUAGCCAACACUGCUUUUCUUGGUAUGGUCUACAUUUUUACCUCCUCAUUGGUUCUUUUUUCCUGCAUUUUCUUUACCUGUCAUAAAUUUGAUGUCUUUAAUGAUGUUGUAUUUAACUUGUUAUUUGAUUCCUAUGGUCCACAUUAUCAAUUUUCUUCUUGGUUUUUGUUCCUAGAUACCCUUUUGUACACACUUUUUGAUUUUUUAUUUAUGAUUUUUGGUUUUUUCUCUUAAUAAUCAGUUUGUUGAUAUGACAUGAAUCAUGAUCAUAUAGAUUUAACUCUAGAGUUUAGUAUUCCUAUGAAUUUGUGUAUUAAUGUUCAUGCAUUAAUGUUAUGUGCAGUGAGUUUUGUUAAUGCAUUGAUGUCAUGUGCUGCGAGGUUUUGAUGCCUCCGUGACCAGAACAUGACUGCAACUGAGGCCGCAUCAACUACAUUUUAAUUGUGAUUGUCUAUAAUAUCUAGGAUCGAGGCGCAACUGUGACAGUUACCACGACCGCAGUUCAAAAAUUCGAUUCAACAAAAUCAAAGUUUAAAAAAAGUUCAUCUGGUGAGGAUCCAUCAUUUUGAAAACCAUGGUUUUAGGCAUGAAAGGAAAGAACAUGAGAACUAGCAAAGUUCAAGUUGAUUACCUAAUUCAUAUUCAAGAGAUUAAGCCUUGGCCUCCAUCACAAUCUUUAAGAUCUCUUCAUUCCGUUUUAAUGGAAUUGAAGAAUGGUUCUAGCACAUUAGGCUCUACAAAAUUAGUAUCACCUUCACUUGGUUCGGUCAUAGGUGAAGGAAGAAUCGAGUUCAAUCAAUCAUUUAGAAUUUCAGCAACAUUGUUGAGGGAUGUAUCCGUUAGAGGUGGUGAUUCCAAUGUGUUUCAAAAGAAUUUCUUGGAAUUCAACUUAUACGAACCAAGAAGAGAUAACAAGAUUGUUAAGGGUCAAUUAUUGGGAAAUUCUGUUGUAGAUUUGGCUGAUUAUGGAGUAAUUAAAGAAGGAUUAAGCAUUAGUACAUCUUUGAACUGUAAGAGGAGUUAUAGAAACAACGAUCAACCACUCUUGUUCGUUAAAAUCGAGCCUGUUGAAAUGAUUCGUGUUAGAUCUUCGUUGAAGGAGAGAUUUUCGAAUGAGGUUUUUGAGGAGAAUAGUAAUGGUGGUGAUUCUGUUUCAACAUUGAUGAAUGAAGAAUAUGCCGAAGAAGCUGAGAUUGCUUCUUUUACCGAUGAUGAUGUUUCCUCGCAUUCUUCUGUUGCAGCAGUUUCAACUUCAUUUGAGUCUAGUGGUUUUACACCUCCUAAAACAGACAAGGUACUCGUUUAUUUAUUUGCUAUAUGAUUUGAUUGAUGUAAUAUUAGACCGUUCAAAAUCUUUUGUGAAAUGUUUUUGUAAAUGUUAAUGUGCUUAUCUAAUUGCAAUUUAGUUUCAGAUUGAUCCAAAUGGACAAAUCCAAAAGACUAAUUUCAAUGAUAAGGAACAUCACUUAGCUUCAGAAACAAAGCUCGGAAACAUGAAUAUGACGCAACAAGAUACAUACAAGAAGCUUAACAGUUCAUCGUCAAUGGAUGCAUCAUUGUCAACAAGAAAAAAAUGCUACUUCACCAUCUUCAGUUUGUGAAAAUUUAGACAAAAAUUCAAGGAGCAGAACAAGAAGCAAUGAUUAUGAAAAUUUGGAAGAAAAUUUUCAUGACAAGGUUGUUCAUUCUAGAAAUAUAGUUGAAGAUGUUCCAAGAUUAAGUAUCAAAAGUACUUUCAACAUUCAUUCCAAUUUGAACGAAAAGAGAGAUGCUAAGACUAAUCCAAAGGAAGCAAGAAAUGCUAAUUUAGAAGGUAAAAUUGAUUACUUGGACAAGAAGGUAAAGAUGCUUGAAGGAGAGUUAAGAGAAGCUGCUUCCAUUGAAGCUGCUUUAUAUUCAGUUGUUGCUGAACAUGGAAAUUCCAUGAGUAAGGUUCUAGCUCCGGCUCGGCGCCUUUCAAGGCUUUAUCUUCAUACUUGUAGAGAAAAUGUUCAAGGAAGAAGGUUUGGUGCAGCGAAAAGUUCUGUUUCUGGAUUAGUACUUGUUUCGAAGGCAUGUGGAAACGAUGUUCCAAGGUACGUUUUUGAGCCAUAUUUCUUCUUGUAAUCUAUUCUAAUCAUUUUUUCUGCUAUCACUAUUUUAAAGAUAUCCGUUAGCAUGGUUAUCAGUAUCUUACAAUGCAUACAGUCGUAUCAUGAUUCGAUUCAAUAUCGAACCUAUUGAUAAGAAUCUUUAGUGCAUAUCUAUUUUGGACACGAAUCUUAUCCUGUAUUAGACGGAAUCAAAAGUUUUUUCUUCUUCACAGAAUCUGCUUACAUAUUCCAUCAUGUGGAUGCAGGUUAACCUUUUGGUUGUCUAACACUAUAGUAUUAAGAACAAUCAUAAGCCAAAACUCGAAAGAUAUGGUUUUAUCAAAUCAUGCUGGUUCCAAUAGAAGAAGAAAAACUGAGGGAGAUGGAAAUGCCAAAAUAGCAUCAUCACAAAGGUGGAAAGGAGAUAAAAAUGAAUGUUUUGGUAACUGGGAUGAUCCUCAUGUGUUCAUUUCAGCAUUGGAAAAGGUUGAAGCUUGGAUCUUCUCUCGGAUAGUAGAAUCUAUAUGGUGGCAGGUAAUGUCUUACUCGUAAUGCGGGCCAGCCGAACAUGUUUGGAGGCCUAAUGCCAACUCAAAACAAAUAACAUUGUUUGAAUAAAGUGUUUAAGUUUUUACAGCAGAAGAGCUUAUCAUACAACGUAGAAGUUAUUUCUAUAUAAGGUAUAAGUUGUUUUCACAAGCUAUUCUAGAAAGCUUAUGAAAACAGGCUAAAAACAGCUUAUGAACAUUUCGUAAGCUGUUUUCAUAAGCUCUCCGGAACAGUAUCCCAAGUGCUUACGCUAGUAGAUAUGCUCAAAUAAGCUGAUCGAACCAAGCCCUAAAUACGAACCCUCUCUGAGAGUAUUCUUAUCCUUUUGUUUUGUCUAUUUUCAGACUCUAACUCCACAUAUGCAACAUACGAAUACAAAUUUGACCAACAAGGAAGUUGCUUCUGCCUCAAGUAAAAGCAACAGAAGAGUAUCUAAUUCAUGUGAUCAAGAUCUUGGUAACAUGUCACUAAAUAUUUGGAAGAGUGCUUUUAAAGAAUCAUGUGAAAGGAUAUGUCCUAUUAGAGCUGGAGGGAAUGAGUGUGGCUGUUUACCUAUGCUUCCUAAAUUGGUCAGUCUUAUAUAAUUGAUUGCUUCUAAGUUCAUUACUUUAGUCAAUGAAAUCUUUUUGUUUUCCUCUAUCAUGACAUGAAUUACAUUUUUUCUUGUACUUAAAUAUAGGUAAUGGAGCAAUGUGUGGCAAGAUUAGAUGUGGCUAUGUUCAAUGCUAUUCUGCGCGAGUCUGGUGAUGAAAUCCCAACUGAUCCGAUAUCUGAUGCUAUUAGUGAUCCUAAGGUUCUCCCUAUUCCACCUGGAAAAACAAGCUUUGGAGCUGGUGCUAAGCUAAAAACUGUGGUAACUUUUCAAUACAUUGUUUCAAUUCAUUCAUAUAUCUAAAGUUAAAUUUAUACCUUUCUUGUGAUAUUUUUCUUCAUGUCAUGAAUGUGCCUUUUAAAGUAAGCCAAAAUGAAUUGUUGAGUUAGAGGAUUGAGUAAACUCUCAAUUUAUUGCUUCAAGUAGUAUAGUGGAAACAGAACCGGACCAGCCGGUUCAAUCGAUUGAACCGGGAACCGGCCAAUAUGAUGAUUGGUUCAACCAUGGUUAGUUCGCAACCUGCAUAACCAAGUUGAACCGUGGUUGGUUCAACAGGUUUUUUUUUUUCAAGUACUUUUAAUACUUAUUUGUUUUUAGUCGUCUAAUUCAACCGCGGUGGAAGAAAUUGAACCAAUUAUACCAUAAGAAGGAUGUUUCACCAGUUCAAUCUUCGGUUUGGUUCGAACAACAUUGCCCUCACGUAUCACUCUCUCAGCUACUUAGUCUUUAAUGUUCUGUCAAAUCGAUCAUGUUAGUUCCUUGCAUUUGACAAUGUAUAAUGGUAGGAACUAACAGGACAAAUUUGACAAAACGUUAGGAACUGAGUAGUAGAGAGUGAUACUUGAAAGACUAAAUUGAAGGUUUAAUCUUAGAGGAUCACUGCAAAUUUUUUAUUUUUCGAUUAUAAUAUCAUUUGAGAUCGUUUAAUUGUCGAUGAUUCUUGUUCAUUUGUGACAUCUUCAUUGUCAGAUUGGUAACUGGUCUAGAUGGUUGAGUGAUCUAUGUGGCAUGAAUGAGGAGGACUCACUUGAAGAUAAAGAUGACAAUGAUAACAAUAAGGAGAAACAUAACACAUCUUUUAAAUCUUUCACACUUCUUAAUGCACUAAGUGACCUCUUAAUGCUUCCUAAAGAUAUGCUAUUAAGUGCAUCCAUUAGGAAUGAGGUAUGCCAAAGAUAUUGUUUAACUUACUUACUUUUUUUACCGUCGUCGAGGAAAUUUGAACUUUAUCCCUUGAGGUCAUAAUGUCAAACUUUUACCACUGAACUGACGCCUUCAUUCUAAACGGAUUCUUUUUUGUGAAGGUAUGCCCCAUGUUUAGUGCACCACUUAUCAAGAAGAUUCUUGAUAAUUUUUUUCCUGAUGAGUUUUGUCCUGAUCCGGUUCCUACAACUGUUCUUGAAGCUCUGGAUUUAGAGGUAGAUAGUUAAAUUUGCACUUAAUUUUCUUUUGGUUCCAUAAUCCAUAUAAAAAAGAAAUUUAACUCGUGAUCUCAAUGUUUUGUGUUUACUUGAUACAGAAUGAUAUGGAAAAUGGAAAUGAGUUUGGCAACAACUUCCCAUGCAAUGCAGCUCCAAUUGUCUAUUCACCUCUACCGGUAACUUCGGUCACAAGCAUUCUCGGAGAGAUUGGAAGCAAAUCUCAGCUAAGAAGAAACAAAUCUUCUGUUGUUAGGAAGUCAUAUAGCAGUGAUGAUGAACUCAAUGAUUUGGAGUCACCAUUAUCUUUAAUAUUUUUUGGCAAUUCCUCGUCCUCGAGGGUUUCAACAAAAUCGAAUAUGAAGACGAGAGAAAUUCCAAGUGAAUCUCCUGUUAGAUAUGAUCUUCUUAGGGAUGUUUGGAUGAAUAGCAAUUAAUCUUCUUGCUAGGGCUUGAAUAAUCUACAAUGUGUGAAAAAUGCAUAAUUCAGUAUGUAAUCAUCUUUGAUAUAUGGGUUUUGUGACUAUAUAUAAUAAAUGUACAUAAAUUUUACACAUUUAUAAUCAUAAUAUUUCACAGUUACCAAUACCAAGUAAUGUCAUGAAAUGAUAAGAUGGUGAAAUAUGAUUGAACAUGUGUACAACUUAUCUCAAUUCUUUGUAUAAUUUUGAUUACGGAUUAUAAAUUAAUUAUAUCUUUUAUAUAUCUUUUCACACACCAUAACACUAAAAUGCAUAAUUAUUUGUCUGAUAACUCAGUUGUUAGGAACAAUAAAUUGUAAUAUGCAGGGGUAGGGGUUCGAACUCCGAACACUCCACUUAUUUAUCUUAAAGGUGAGUUCUAGCCAUUAAGUUAUUCGAAAAAAAAUUGCAAAAUUAUUUUCAAUAUAAACAAUUAUAGUAACCUCUUAAAACAUGAAUUAUGUUUUAUAUGUUUUGUAUUUUUAAUGGAGAAUAUCAUAACAGCCUACACUUUGUCAUAAUAAAUAAAUAAAUAAAUAAAAAUUCCGGUAGUUUUCAUUCUUAACGCUUAUUUUUAAGUACAUCUUUGAGAAGUUAUUUUUCAUUUUUUUUAUUACUCUAGAUAUAACAUAUAAUAAGCAUAUUUAACAACAAAUAUUGUGUAUUAAUACUCUAACGGAACCAUUGUAUAUUAAUACUCUAAUGAUACCACUAAUGAAUCAAUGAGAAAACAUUCUACCAAGCUUGUUCUUUAAACAAAAAAAAAAUCUACCAAGCUUUUCCACCAUUUUACAUUCCUCCACAAUUGAUAAUUGCAUUCUUGCUUCCUCGAAACCCUAACAAACCAUAAAUCAUAUAUCUAUUUUAGCGUUUCAACGUUUCAAAUACUUCCUCCGCUCCUAUAUACAAGAGACAUUUGGGUCAAUAAAAGUUGAUGUAUUUGAUUCAAUUUGGAUCAGAUACAUCAACUUUUGUUGAUCCAAAUUUCUUUUAUAAAUAGGACCGGGGGGAGUACCUAUAUACAUCUGAGAGGGUUAGCUAAAGCAUUGGGCAUUAGCAAGACGACAUUGUUGAAGUUAAUCAAAGAUGGAAUUAUGCGUCGUUAUUCAAACGCGCUAAAGUCACACUUGAAAGAUACUAAUAUAAAAGCUCGACUCAAAUUUUGUUUGUCUAUGCUUGAGGAAACUAGCAUUCCUCAUGUUCCACAAUUUAAGUCCAUGUAUAAUGUUGUGCACAUAGAUGAGAAAUGAUUUUACAUGACUAAAAAGUCCGCAAACUAUUACCUUAUUGCAGACGAGGAUGAGCCAUACCGCACAUCCAACAAUAAAAAUUACCUUGGUAAGGUCAUGUUUUUAGUUGCAGUGGCUAGACCUAGAUUUGAUGAUGAAGGAAAAGAGACUUUUUCAGGAAAAAUUGGUGUGUUUCCUCUAUUUCAACAAGUUGCAGCAAAAAUAUCAAGUGUCAAUAGACCCUCAAGUACACUCGAAACAAAACUGAUUGCUUCUAUCACUAAAGAAUUUACCCGAUGAUUUUAUAUAAAGAAGUUUUUACCAGCCAUUAAACAAAUUUGGCCACAAGAACAUGCAAUGGAAACAAUUUAUAUACAACAAGAUAACGCGUCAUGCCAUAUUUCUCAUGAUGACAAAGAAUUUUGUAGAGCAGCUUUUGAAGGUGGGUUUGACAUUCGAUUGAUAUGUUAACGACCUAAUUCUCCCGAUUUGAAUGUUUUAGAUUUGGGUUUCUUUAGUGUCAUCCAAUCAUUGCAGCAACAAGAAGUUACUAGAUCAGUUCAUCUGCUUAUCGAAGUUUUGCAAAAAUCAUAUGAUGAUUUUUUUACCAUCAUAUGAUUUUUGCACAACUUCGAUAAGAUGAUCAAUUGAUCUAGUAACUUCGUGUUGGUGCAAUGAUUGGAUGACACUAAAUAAACCCAAAUCCAAAACAUUCAAAUCAGAAGCAUUAGGUGGUUGACAUAUCAAUGGUAUGUCAAACCCACCUCUAGAAGCUGCUUUACAAAAUUCUUCGUCCUCAAGAGAAAUAUGGCAUGACGCGUUAUCUUGUUGUAUAUAAAUCGUUUCCAUUGCAUGUUCUUGUGGCCAAAUUUGUUUAAUAGCAGGUAAAACUUUAUUUAUAUAAAACCAAUAAUGGGUAACUUCUUUAAUCAUAGAAGCAAUCAGUUUUGUUUCGAGUGUACCCGAGGGUCUAUUGACACUUGAUCUUUUUGUUGCAACUUGUUGAACUUGAGGAAACACACCAAUUUUUUCUGAAAAAGUCUCUUUUCCUUCAUCAUCAAAUCUAGGUAUAGCCUGUUAUCAUGGUUUUUGGGUGCCAAGCCAUUAAUUGGGCUUGAACCUUUUGACCGUUGAUAUCUCUCUUUUUUCUUGGGAAGGGUAAAAGGAGAAAAACCCUUGAGUUUCCGAAUUCGGGGGUCAUUUUCGCUACGGGAAGGUGUUAGGCACCCGGAGCGAUUAUGGUAUUCCAUAAGAACCGUUCUCCUAAGUUUAUUUCUACGCUUUAUUUUUUUUUUGCCUACUUUAUUGGAAGAAGUUUUAUUUGAGUGAAGAAUGGAGGUGAGAAGAAGUAGAAUUUGAUUUUAUUUCGGCUUGGAGGGGUUAAAGUCCCUUGCCUACGUACCGUUUUACGGGAUCAAAACCGGCGUAGUUCUUGCUAAAAAAGACUUGUUGUUUUUUGUUUUAAUUGUUGGAUUUUAAAUUUUGAAAAUGAUUUUGAAGAAGGGGAUUGAGAGGCUUCAUGAGCAUUAGAGUAUGAAAAAGUGGGGGUUUGUUUAGUGAUUUUGCAAAAAAGUCUAAAUGAUUAGAUUUAUUUGAGAAUUUUAUUAAGAAAAUAAAAGGUGAAAAGUUGUUGGAGUUUUGACUCCAUUUUUAUGAAAAAUAUUUGAAGUGAAUUUAUUUGCAUAUUUUUUUGGAAAAAAUUGGAUUUUCUCUAAGUGUUCGAAACUAAGCGUUCAUCUAAUCAUGCAAUCCUAGCCAUACAUCUAUGCAUACAAUCCUAAGCAUACAUCUAGGGUGAGUGUGUGCGUGUCGGUGCGUCAUAGUGUCCAUAGUCCAUAUUACAAUAUUGCCUAAAUACAUUCUAUGGCCUCUUUGCCAAGCUACAAACCAAUGGUAAAAUAUUACAGCACCGAAUGAAUUACAAUUUGCAAAAAAAGAAAACUAAACUAAUGGAGACAAUAGUGAAGAUAGUGAAGUGCUAUGAAGUGAUCAAUAUGAAAGGAAAUGUUAGUAGAAAAUGGUAAAAAAAAAAGAAAGAAUAUGGCAUGAAGCGAUGGAAGAAAGUAUGGCAUAAAACGGUAAAGUGGCGAUGAAAAUAAGCCGGAAACAUGUAAUGAAUAAUGCACAUGAUGCAAGAAUAAAACUCAACACAUCAAAACAGUGACAUAUGCAUAGCAAACAGUAGCAAAAUUCAUAUGGAAUAGUAUGCAAAUCAAACAUGACGAACACGAACAUUAUGCACAUGAAGUAACGGGUAAAAAUGCGAGAAAAGUGACUUAAAAUAGUAAAAACCCUUGACAAAACAACACUAAAAUUUUUACCAACUUUUCCAAGUAAAAUACCACUGAAAAUUAUCAAGAAAAAUAGUAAAAUGACAUGGUAAAUUUCUUGGAAUUUAUUGAUAAAAAUUAACAUGAACAAAGGGUGCGAACAGCAGGCAAGUAUGGUGCAAGUAGCAAAAAAACAAGAAAAUAAACUGAACGAGGCCCAAACCAAGGUCCAAACACACAAAGGGGCCUGGAUGCACAGGAGCCCUUGGAUUGAUCCAAGGUGCUGAAACCCUAGAUCCAAGAGCUCAUAUUCAUCCAGAGUAAAACCGAAAUAAACCGCUCUGGUUCACCCUGUCUAUAAAUAUGUUCCACACCGGUUUAUUUUCAUUUUACUGGUUCCCUUCUCUCUUUUCACACAAAACCUCCUCUCUUCUCUCAUCAGGCCUCCUCACCGGAGUUGAUGAAGCCACGGCGGAAACCUAGGUGGUUCGCCGGAAGCUUCAUCUUCUCCGGCGAACCAGUGCCCAGAAACCAACGAAACUUGCAUCAAAUCCUUCGCCUUCUUCUUCUAAACAUGAAUCCAUAAUCUGUUUUUGUAUUCGAAUCGUGAAUCAACGCAGAUCUGAUGUUUUCUUUUACGGUUUUGGAAAGUUGGGUUUUCGUUUUUUUUGAUAAGAUUCUAUGGAUUUGGCACAGAUCUUCGUUGAUUCACUUGGAUUGAUGUUUUUCGAAAGAGAUGAAGUGAACAGAGGCUCUAAGCGAUGUGGAUCUAGAACUUUAACGCGAUGUGAAACUGUUUUGAGGUUUUUUCAUCUUUUUCGAAUUGAAAUGUUUUGAUUCGUACAAAUCCACGUCACAUUGGCCUUGCCACUGUUCUUGAUGAAGAAAAACUGAGAGGAAACGUUUUUUACGAUGCAGAUCUUAUUGAUUUCAGUUUCGGUUUCAAAGGUGUUUUUUGGUUUUCGAAUUUUCUUAAACCAAAACGUUUUUUAUCACUAAGCUCUACAUCGUUUUCCAGUGAUUGAACUUCUUUAUGAGGAAAACGAGAUGUUUGAAGUUAUACCUGAGGUUUUAAUGGAGAUUUUGGUUGAUUUUCUUCAGAAAACCGUGAUCAGCUUGCUGCGUUUUUGAUGAUUUUGUUGUUGAGCCACUGAAAAUAAAUCAGUAUUUUUGCACGCGAAUCUUCAUCUUCUUCACCGGUUUAAACCUAGCUUCUUCCCUCUUCUUUCUCUUCACUGCUUCCUCGUGAUCAGUGCUUGAGUUCGUCGCGUUUCAGUGAUGAACUCGUACUUUGAAUUGCGAGGAAAUUGGUUCUGUGAUGAUGAUUCCGUAUUGAAUCUCUGAGAAUCAAUGAGUAAUCAAAGAAACUUUGUUGAAUUCUGUUGAAUUUGGUGUUUUUGUGUUGAUUCGGUGGAAAUCAAUGGUGGAUUGAGGUGGUUAGGGUUUCUGCCAUUGAUGAAUCUUUGAAGCUUUUUGUGUUGAUUCUGUUUUGAUCUAACAGAAAAGAGAGAGAAAGUUGGAUUCUGUUUUGGUGAGUUGGCACUGAUUAUUGCUUCUGGUCCUGACUUGUACAGUAAAUGCGCCUUUUAUAGGCUGCCAUGUGUACUCUUGGACCAAUAGGAAGUUGACACCUGGACUUGUAUGAAAAUGGCACGGCUUGGACUUGAAAUGAAUUUGGGACCUUUCUGCAAAAACAAAAACUUAAGGACUAAACUGUAAUUAACCAAAAAGGACUGAAAUGAAAAUUGGAAAGGAAACUGGACUGAAAUGCAAUUUUGGGACUUCAAUUGAGGGACCAAAAUGCAAUUAAAAUAAAAUUGAAUAAAAAGCGUAAUUUGACCAAACGUAAAGCGAAACAAAAAUAAAAUUGACAAAACGGACUAAAAACGAACCAAUGGCUUAAAUGAGGUACUUCAAAGUAACCUCUCUAUGCCAAAAUUUUGUGUGAAAUGACCAAAAUGCCCCUAGGGCUAAAAUUGACCUAAACAGACUCAAAUUGACCUGACACUGACUCAGAUGCAAGUUUGAAAUGAAUUUAACAAGGUUUACUGAUGAAAUGUUAAAAAUCAAUCUGAAAAGACCCAGAGACAGUCACAAGGAUGAAAAUGGGUCCCACUGCAGGAAAUGACCAAAAUACCCUUCUGUACGACUUUUUGCAAAUUUUGAAAUAAACUGUAGAAAAAGCAAUGUAAUGAUUCAGAGACACUUUUGAAUGACUUACAAGACAAGUAAAGACAUUUCGAAAGGUUUUAUGCAAGAAAAACAUAGGUAAAAUUGUGAUUGAAAAUACUGCGAGGCAGAGACAAUUUGAACUGUGCAGUUGAAAUUUGAUAAUUGACAAAGUUUGAAAUGAAAUUGGUCCCAGUAUUUUUAGGUCCAAAAACAGGGUAUAACAUAGCCACUACAACUAAAAACAUGACCUUACCAAGGUAAUUUUUAUUGUUGGAUGUGCGGUAUGGCUCAUCCUCAUCUGCAAGAAAGUAAUAGUUUGCGUGAUUUUUAGUCAUGUAAAACCAUUUCUCAUCUAUGUGCACAACAUUAUACAUGGACUUAAAUUGUGGACCAUGAGGAAUGCUAGUUUCCUCAAGCAUAGACAAUCAAAAUUUGAGUCGAGUUUUUAUAUUACUAUCAUUCAAGUGUGGCUUUAGUGUAUUUGAAUGACGACGAAAAAUUUCAUCUUUGAUAAACUUCAACAAUGUUGUCUUGCUAAUGCCUAAUGCUGUAGCUAACCCCCUUUUGAGUGCUAUGCUUAGCUAACGAAAUAUUGUGCCCUUUCUCAAUAUCUAUCUCUACUCUUUUCCGACCACAAUUUUUUGUUCUUUUAUGAGAAGAAUCACCCAUUUGACGUACUUGCCUCCAUAGUCGGUAAAUAGUUGUCGUUGAGACCGAAUAUAAUGAAGCAAUCCACCUAUAACAGUCCAGUGUUUAAGUUUUCCACCAUAACUGUCCUUUAUCAAUAACUGAGAGAUGCUUUUUCGUUCAUCAUUGUUCAAGAAGUUGCGCUCGUUAUUAGACUAUUGUUUCUCAUGUUGGACCAUGUCUGUCAUGAAAACACAAGAAUAAUAACAAUAGUGGAUGUACAUAAACUUCAAAAAAUAAAUAAACAAAAAACAUUAAAAAAACACAUGUAAGAUAACCACAAUUUGACACCGCAAUGGCAGGUGUUUAAAUUUCAAUUGUCCAAAUUCCAUUUAAAAGUGUUUUUAACCAAAAGUACCACUUUUGAGUUUUAAAAAAUUUCAUUGACAGAUCUUUAAACCAUUAGAAAUCCACCAUGAGAAUUUCAAUGGUUACUCCAUCAUGAAAAUUGUUGUUGACACAUAUGAGAAAGCUUAGAAACACCAGUAAAAGAAGUAAAUGCCCCUACGACAAUUAAUUGUUAAAAACCGGUUGUAGUUAACUGCCGAGGAAAACUUCGGCAGUUAACUAUCGAGGCGGACUUCUGAGUUAACUACCGCAAAAAUUGAAUAUUAAUUACAUGUUUAAUUGAUUUAAUUGUAACAAUAAAUUGAAAUAACAAAAUAAUAAACUCAAUUAAUAUAUUUAAUUUGAAAAGUCUAAUUGUAACUGCCACGGUACAUUUUUAUAAGUUUUUAAUGAUGUCUUUUUUUUUCUGAAAGAAAAGUUUUGAAUAAUGUAUAAUUGUAACAUAAAUCAAAAUAACAAAAUAAUAAAUUCAAUUAAUAUAUUUAAUUUGAAAAAUCUAAUUAUAACUACCACGGUACAUUUAUAAAAUUAGUUUUGAAUAAUGUCUAAUUGUAACAUAAAUUAAAAUAACAAAAUAAUAAAUUCAAUUAAUAUAUUUAAUUUCAAAAGUCAAAAUUUUUAGUUAUGUAUCAAUCUUAUACAAAGCAAAUUACAAAAAAAAAAAAAUAUAAAAUCAAAGAAAAUCAUUAGCUUUUUUUUUCCGAAAGAGAAAAUCAUUAGCUAUCAAUGUCUUUAUUACUCAUAUUAGCAAAAAUAAAAUGUCAUUAAUACUGCAUUUUUGUAAACAAAAGCAAAUGAAUGAGUUGUAGUCAACAUCUUUAAAACUAAAUCAUCUCAUUAUUUUCGGUAAUUAAAUCAAUUAAAAAUGCAACGGUUAUAACAAAAAAUACACCACCAAAAACAAAAGUAACCGUUCCACAAAAAUCAACCAUUCAUUAAUGUAAAUUAUUGCAUUUUCCCUUUAUAUUCAGAAACGUGAAUAGCCUUUAAACACAAUUAAUUUGGCAAUCACAAUUUCCUCGGCAGUUAACUGUCGAAGUUUUCCUCGGCAGUUAACUGCAGCCGUGUUUUUAAUUCCUCGGCAGUUAACUGCUGCAGGGGCAUUUACGUCUUUUACUGGUGUUUCUCAACCUUCUCAUAUGUGUCAACAACAAUUUUCCUUCAUCAUUCCAUGCAACAAUUAAUUACUUAAAUCCACUCCAUCAUUAAUUUCUGCACUAAAAAAUGAUUUCAAGACAAGGGUAAAAUUAGAAAGGUAUAAUUUUUUUAUCAUUACUUAAAUGUAGGCAAUCCACUUUCUUAACAUAUAUUUUUUUUUCUUACAUUCAAGACUAGAGGGAGUAAGUGUUUAAGAAUUAUACACUAAUAUAUGUCACUGUCUCACUGAUGAAUUGAUGAGAAAAGAAAAAAAGAAAUAGAGUAGAGAACAUACUAGAGGUGUUGAUGGAGGUUAUUGUUGUUGCUGAUGUUGAGAUGGAGCGAUCACUUUUGAAGGUUAGAAGGAGAAACAACGGUGAAGUGGAAGAAGGUUGGUUUCUUUUUUCUUGAGUUUCUUUUGAGAUACAAUGGUGCUGAAACAGAGUGAUGAAUGAUAACAUUUGAGUUUCUUUUUUCUUUUUUGUUUAUUGUUGCAAACAAUAAAAAAUAAAAAAUAUUAAUUUGGUUCAUUUUUUUUCAUCCUUUGUUUCUCUUUUUUUUUUUUUUUUUUUACUGUUGUCACACAUGGAACAAUGUUAAAAGAACAAACCAAAAGUCAUACACAUGAAGAAAAAAAAAGGACCAAAAUUAGUAUUUAUUUUUUAUUUUUUAUUGUUUGCAACAAUAAAGAAAAAAAGGAAAGAAAAGAGAAACUCAAAUGUCAUCAUCAUUCAUCACUCUGUUUCAGCAUCGUUGUUUCUCAAAAGAAACUCAAGAAAAAAGAAACUCUCCGUCUCCCAUUUCACCGUUGUUUCUCCUUCUAACCUGCAAAAGUGAUUCCUCCAUCUCAACAUCAGCAACAACAAUCUCUAUCAACACCUCCAUCUUAUUCUCUACUUUGUUUCUAUUCUCUCUAAGGUUACUGCUGGAUAUUAUAAUAGUUAUCAUGUAUGAAAAACUAAGAAAAGUAUUCCCAUCCAAAUCCUCCGUCCCCGAAAAUGUAUCUUACUUUGUUACUUGGUGCACGAAUUAAAAAACGUACUUUUAGAUGAGAAAGUCAAAUUGUGGCGUAAUCUUCCUUAAAAAAAAUUGUGACAGUAAUUCUCAAAAUCAGCCUUCAUUAAUGAUUUUUUUUUUUGUUACAUGAGAAAAAGACAAAAACAAAAACAGAAAAAGAGACUAUAGGCCACGAUGAUAAGCAACAUAGAUAUUGUCUGCUGUAAGCAACAAACGAAGCUCAGCCAGAGGAUCAAACACAAUCAAAAGAUCACUAGUAGACCUUGUUCCAAGCUUUGCUAAAAAGUCAGCACACAUAUUACCCUCUCUAAGAGUGUGACAUAGAUUAAAAGUCCAAUCUUUUGCCAUGUACUUUCUGAUAAUAGCUAUCUCAUUACCAUAAUGGUGAGUGAAAACAUCUGCAUGUUGGACGAGAUGGAUAGUAUGCAUGGAAUCAGUGUAACAAAUAAUGUCUUUUAGACCUUCCUCCCAACAUAUUUGAAUCCCAUGCAUUAAUGCCAAAAUUUCGGCGUGAAGAAUAUUCGAGUAGCCAAUAUUACCGUUAAAACCAUGCAGGAAUUGUCCAUCAGAGUUUCUAAUUAAGCCACCAAAUCUUGCCAUCCCUGAAUUUGUUUAAGCACUACCAUCCACAUUAAGAGUAUAUGCUCCAGAAUGACCUUUAUGCCAAGAAAUAAGUUGAGGCUGAAUACUAGUAAUCUCCUUAUGCAUACAGUUGAAAAUUUGAGUAACAUCACGAGUCAUAACCUUGAUUUUUGACAAAGAAGCCAUCAGAGGCGUAUUUAUAUCGUCAAAGAUCUUUACAUUUCUAGCACACCAAAUACUCCACAUGGUAAUAGGUAUCACAAUGCCAAGUUUGUCAAAUUGUCGUGGGACCACAUGAAUAUUGAGUUAUCCUCCUCAGGUAAACUGAAGCGAGGACCCACAAUCAAGUUCCAUAUAGCUUUUGCCCGAUUACAUUUAAACAAACAAUGAAUCAAGGUCUCGGGUUCAUUAUCACAAAUAUGACAUAUGGAAUCUAAUGCAAUACCUCUAUGAUUCAUGAUAGUUCGUGUGGGGAUCGCAAGAUGCACCACUUGCGAAAGAAAGAAUUGAACGUUGGCUGGGAUUUUUAGUUUCCACAGCCAAUUCCAAGAAUCUCUAGGUAAUAGAGAUUAAAUUACAAAAAUUGAAAAAGAAAAAAAAAAAGAUAAUAAAUAGUGAAGGUUAUAUUAGAAAAAUAAAAACAUUAACAAUUCAAUAGUAUUAUAAGACGAGAUAUAAAAUGAGACAAAUUCUUUAAUCAAUAAUUAAGUUUCAAUUCAUGCCCCUAAUUGCUUAAACAUAAUCAAUAUUUCUCUACUUUUUAUAUCAUUUCUCUUUUUCUUAUAACAAACAAGGACUCAAAUUUUCACAUUAAUUUUUUUAAAUAAAAAAAAAAAUUACACCCAAUUUUUUUUUACAUAUCACUUCCCUUGUCAUACAUUCUUUUAUGUAUUUCUCUCUUCUCAUCUUAUCUUCACAACCAAUCACACCCAUAUGAAUUUUUUUAUAUAAAAUAAUUAAUUUAGUUAAAAAUAUUAAAAAGUUCUAUAAAAAAUGACAUGAAAACUUAUACAAAAAAAAGUAAACAGUUUUUUCAGGGAGUGGAGUAAACAUGUUAAUUGUGCACAAAGUCAUCCUAUUCACCGAAUUUCAUGAUUUUAUUUUUUACACGAGAACAACUAAUUCAUUUCAUUUAUAAUGAUGGCCGAAAUACAACGUGGGGACUAGAAUAUUAGUAAUACAAACAUGAUGCCCUCGCUAAAUUAUGAGCAACACAAUUAGUUUGCCACCCAAUAUUAAUUCACAUGAGAGUUGUUGUACCAAUGAGAUAAUAUUCAUUCAUUCAAAUCGAGAGAUUACAUCAUUCAACACCGCUAAAAAUGUAAAGGAUGAAUUUGCGAACACACUCACAGCAUCCAAGUUAAUAGCAUAUAACGACAUAAUGCCUACAAAAAUAUGCGAUAAAAUUAAAGUGACCGGAAUAUACAUGGCCUCCGGAUCUACAACGUUGACGCCCAAAUCGUUGAUUGAAUAAUCGAUCUUUCUGUAAGAAUCAAAUGAACACCGCACAAAGACGGGAAAUCAAACAACGCCGCACAAGACGACGAACAACAAACCACCACACUUAUAUGAUGAAAUCACAAAGAAAAAAACCUAGAUCUAUGUGAAAAUCACUUAUUUAGAUUGAAAUAGAGAGAAAAAGAUGAAUACGGGUGAUUUUAGGUCAAGAACUGAUCCAAAACCACCCUCAAUGAAGAAACUGUACCAGAAAAUCUAGAGAGAGAGAAACUAAGGCCGGCUUGUUGGAGAGAGGGAAAGAUUGUUUUACACAUACUACUACAUUCUAUGAGAUAACAAAUGUUUGUAAUGAUAAAUAAGUCUUCCCAACUAGAUCAUUUGAUGAUUAACCUAAUGCACUAUAUUUAUUACUGGAUCAUGACUUGCUACAUUUAUUUAUACUUGUGCAUUAACAAUUUCCAGAAUAUUCGUUUAUAAAUCAAUUUCCAAAAUAUCUAAGAAGCUUAGAGUCUAUUCUGCACUUUGAUUAAGCAACCUCGAUUGGUCAAAUAAAAAGUGAAAAUAGGAUAAGUUAGACAAGGUACUUAAGUAUGUGGAAUUCUGCUUGAAAUUAAUCGGUAAAUGCAAUACUUAAAGUACCAAAUUAAGGUACCAAAUGAAAGCACACAAAAGCAAUAAUCUACCAAGUGAAAUUAUGAGCUAAACCUUGACACUUGGAUUACAAAGAAAACUGCACAAGAAGAAAACACUCACAGUUUUGUAACACAUUACACCUGGAUCAUGAAACCCUCAAGCUAUGUCUAGCUAUCUAAUAAAUUCUUGCAAUUCAAUUGUGACAUCAUAUACUUAAAGGAACUAAUCUUUCAACAUUACUACUAAUCACAAGUAGGACAUUAAACCUUACUUUGAUAAUGACAACAAGUCAAUAACAUCUACUGUCUAGGACUACAAGUAUGAUCCCAAAAGUACAAUGUCUAAUAGUUUAUACAAUCCUUCAGGAGAUUUCACCAGAAUUCAACCCUCCUCUGAUUCUGCAUGUCAGAAUAGAAACCAUAUUAGAACUAGAUAAUCUUGUAGUGUUUCAAGUAAUGUGGAAGAACAGACAAGCAUAUCAAAAGCAAAGCAUUACGGUAAACAAGAACUAUUCCUUGUUCAUUAACAUGAUAAAGAAUGAAACAGUUUCAACUUUCAUCCUAAGCAUUUUUCUUAAUCAUACCAUUUAUGGCUUCCAUGUUAUUGUCCUUGUAAACACCUAGGGGUGAUCCAUGAACAGAGAGAAGCAUCUCGCCAGGCUUGGGAACACGAAGUGUUUUGGGCGUCAUCCCAACAGACAACCUCUGACUACUCACCUGUAUAAUGCAUAUAUUUAGCUGUUAACUUUUCAGUUUAAGGCCAUUUCGAACAUCUUUCUACCAGCAACAACAAACACCAGAAUCAUUUAAAUAAAAAUGCACAAAGGCGAGAUACUUACCCCGGGAGUCAGAAGACCUUCUUGCAUCGCUAAAGUCUGAGUUUCAGAAGGCUCCUCCAAAGCCUAUACAAUAGACAUUAAAUCACUAAAAGAAGCAAAACAUUUCCUUUUAAAUUCAUGCAUAAUCUAGAUCAUGUUACAGAAACGAACGGAUGAGCAAGAGUAAUGUCAGUAGUACCCUCAUGUUUCACAACCUAUUUUUGUCACAAAGUAACUAACUCUACAAUUAUCAAUGCAAACUAAUGAAAAAUUGAGCUCUUUAAGUUAGAAUUUUUAUUUUACAUUAUAAUCAUACAUAUUAGUAUUAUAUGUAAUACUUCAGCCAUGUGGUGCGUAAAUAUGCUUCUAUCAUAUAUUAACAAGUGAUCCAAAGGUAUGUGAGUGAAGCAGCAAAAUGAAGAAAAAAGAACAUACAAAUUCCUUGAAACACAGAUUAUCAGCACCAAUAAAGCUAGUUCUCCCUGUCAAGAUGGAAAAACUGUAGUCAGAUAUAAAAAAUAUAACAAUAUAGAAACUUAAAUACAUUUUUACUUCUAUUUUUUGAAAUCAGUCCCCGAGCUUUUAGUACCUAUCUAUAUUCAAUAACACAGUUAGAUACACAUACUCAUCAGAAUUAUAUGCACAUCUUUGUAUGAACUAAAAACACAUUUAUAAGUAAAAACACUGUCCCAAGUUCUACAGAGUAAAAAUUGCAACUGCAGUAAGUGAAUGAGAGUUGUUGGACAUAUCAACUUGUUCACAUUUACAGGCAAGUAAAUCGAACUGAAAAUGCAAACUCCUUGCUCGGUCAAAAAAUAAUGCGCAUGCAUGAUAGAACAGUUCAGGUUAAUUACAUUUCGAGCUCAACAACCACAAAAUCAAAAUGUGACAGUCUAUUUUUUUGUUUCGCUGCUCUUUUUGUUGCAAGAAACCCAAAUUCAUAAUGAAAAAUAAAACACAUUAAUUUUAAAUGUUGAGACUAAAUGAAAACAAUUUUAAUAGAGACUAAUUUAAAAUAUUCUACAUGAAAAAAUAUACUUAAGAGGAAUUUUGAAGUGCUCACCUUCUGCAUUGCAAGAAUGUUCGAAGGUACCAGCAAAAGGAGGCAUUGAAGAGGAGCAGUGAGGGUAAGCCAUGGACAACUUUUGCAGCAAUGAAGCAUGUACAUCACCAUGGUUUAUGUUCAUAUUCAUAGGAUCUUUAUCUUUCAAUAUCACUUCAAAAUUGUUACUCCCUUUAUCAUUCACAAUGGACAAAUUUGGAAGAGUUUCUUUAAAAAUCUCUAACACGGGUUUCUGGAGCUGUUCCUCGCUGAAACACGAGCGAAGCAAUCGCAAAUCCGUCACCAAGUGAUCGAUUUUCACCUCCUGAACUGCCCUAAUUGCACCGAUUUGUCGCUCCAAUGCUGCACAAAUAGUUAAAAUUCAGUUCACACUCUCGCACAUUCUGUGAUAUAUUGGACUUUGUGAAAAGGAAUUCAAUAAGAAUCUGAAACGUUGUAAUACCUUUGAUUUCAAGGUCCAUGAAGUUAGGUUCCUGCGUCUGAAUUUGAGGCUCCUUGGGUUCAGGCACAGAUUCGGCUGCUUUAACAGUUUUUUUGGGUCUACCCCUUGCCAUUUUGGCUUGGAAAGAGCAAAUUCAACAAAUGAAGGUGGCAAACUAACCAACUACACAGUACCUAUUUCAACAGAAUCUACAUCAUUAUUGACUCAACAACCCCUCAAUACAGACCAUUAUUAAAAAGCUAUGAAAUUCUGACAAAGAGAUAAACACUAACAUUAAAAACUGUUGAUUGAAAAUCAAAUUUUCCCCAUACCCAUUAAAAACUGUCACAACGAAUUCGAAAAUGAAGCAUUACAGUAACUAAUUAUUGAGAAAUUGAAUAAUCUAGGGUUUACAAAAAUGAAAAUGAGUAAAUGUUUAACGCACAUUAGCUUCUAAUUGAUGAACAGAAUAAGAAAUUAACAACGAGAAAUGAAGAAUCGAAAAAGAGAGAACUUACGAGAAUCAAUCGGAGAUGAAGAAUGAAUGACCUAUCCAGAAUGUGGUUUCGACCUCUGAUUCGGUCAAUAGAAAGACCAGCACAACUGGAAAGAAGAGAUCAGCGCUUUGGAGUGGGAGAAUGUUGCAGCAAAGAAGUGAAGCUUUUGUUUUUCAAAAAAUGGAGGAAGAAGAAGAGUGAUCUCGCACGUGUAAAAGUGUAAGUGUAACUCAAGUGAAAAUAGGAUUAUUAGGAGUUUUUCAUUGAUCUAAUAUUUUGAUAGUCUAUUUAAUAACCGAUCAUAUUACUUAUUUAUAAAAUGUAUGUUUAUAAAUAGGCUAACAUAGGAGGUUUAUGAAAGAUCAUAUACAAGUCUAAAGUUCACGAACUGUUCGGUUCAGCUUCUUAGGUUCAGUUCGGUUGUUUAACUCGUCCAAAAAAAAAUUAUAAAAAAAAGUUAAAUUAUAGAUCUUUGAUAAUAUAUAUAUUUUAAAAUUAAAUAUUUGAAUUAAAAUAAAAGUUCUCACAAGCAUGCAUAUAAUAGACAUAAAUUAUAUAAAGUUAAAGGUUGCAUAAACACGAAGAAAAAUAUCUGAUACAAGUAACAGAGAGAAAAAAAUCCAACAAAGUUCAAUUAGCUGUGAACAAAAUUCAUAAUAUUCUUUUACUUUUAAACUCCAACUGCUCUUCCCUUCAAGACAAAAUUGUAUUCAACCACAUUUGCCACAUUUGAAUUAAUUUUUUUUAUAAACUAACUCAAAUUGAUUUAUAUAUAUAAUCGAUAAUCGAGCCAUCUCAUGAACCUAACGAGUCGAACUAUAUGUAGCUCAAGUUCAACUCAUUUAAUUAACGAACUUAAUUUUCAGCUCGUUAGGUUCAUGAAUCAAGUUCAACGGAUUAAAUAUCGAGUCGAAUGUCGAACUAUAAUCGAGUUGGUUUGGUUCAUUGUCAGCCCUAGAUGAGAUAAAUGAUAGAUGUGGGCCUUAAAUUUAUUGAGAAGGGAGACUUGGAUCUAACAAAGUCUAACUCGAUCCAGCCUAUUCUCAUCUAAUAAGCAAUUAGUCUUAAAUUUUAACUAAAUACCUAAUAUGAGAAUUAUUUUUUUAUUUUUUUUUUGACUCGACUUAAUUUAUGGAAUAAAAAGAAAAAUACUUCAAUUUAACCUUGACAUUUCCAUACAUUAACAAAUUCAUCUCCAUUGUAAUGAGUCAAAAUUAAAACUAAUUUAUAUUGAUGAAUAAUUUAGUAUAUUUUUUUGUGAGAGACUUAGAGCAUGUUUGAAAAAACGGUUAAUUUACAGUUAUGGCACAAACACUUAUUAUGAUAAACACUUAUUACAAUAAGCAGUUAUAUAUAAGCUUGCAUAUGUUAUUUUUAUUGUCAAAGAUAAAUUAACAUUAAAUUGUUUUUGUGUAUCCUAUAAGUUGUUUUUAUAAGUUAUGUUGGAGAACUUAUGAAAAUAAAUUUAAUAAAGAUUUUGAAAAUUGCCAUAUAGCUUCAUAAAAUUUAUGAUAGUAGAUAAGUUUAAAUAAGCGAAUCCAAAUUGACCCAUAGUUAAAGCGUGAAAAAAUUGUAAAAGAUUUUAUUCUAAAUUUUUUAUUGGCGAGUAAUUUUACCAUCCUAGAUAAACUUAAUGGCUAGCUAAUACUCCCUCCGUCCCAAAUUGUAUGUCACUUUAGAAAAAAUAUUUGUCUCAAAUUAUAUGUCGCUUUACAAUACCAAUGAAAAAUUAAUGUUACUUUUCUUAUUAUAUCCUUAACAAUUUAUUACUUUCUCUUCUUUCAAUUCCUUCAUUUAUCUUUCUCAUAUCAUUUAUUGAGGACAAUUUUGUAAAACAACUCAUAAUAUCUCUUUCCCACACAAUAUUAAUUAUAUUUCUUAAUAUGUGUAAAAUGUCCAAAACGUCAUACAAUUUGGGACGGGAGGAGUAUGUAAUAGUUGCAAAAACACUAAAAUAAAGAUGGAAACUCUAGCAAUUAGUUUAUUGCCGUUAAAAGCUAAAUUUUGGUGUAGGGCUUAUAGAUUGAUUCCGCAAGUAAUGUCCAAUCAUAGGAGUAAGAUUUAUAGAGAGUGGAUGAAGUGAGAGACAAUCAACUUAAGACGGUCUUGUAAUGAUGAGGGCUGGUGGUUAGCGAUUUGAUACACAAUAGGGAAGGAGAGGAAAGAAGAGAAAGGAGGAAGAUGUUGUAACACAUAAGUAGAAAACGGAUGGAACAUUCGAAAAAAUGACAAGAAAACAUGUGAAAACAAAUAUAAACCACAAAAGUACAGCGUGAAACCCUAGCACAACGCACCAGAAGAAAGCAGAGGGGAGGUGCGAGAAAAUUUGUCUUGUUAUUUACUUUUACAUAAUUAUAUUAUUUAUAUUUUUUUAAAUAAGGCCAAAAUGAGAUAUAUUAACAAAAACAUGUUCUUUCUAGCACAAGACAUACCAGAAAAGAACAACCAAGUUUGAUUCGAUUCAAAUACAAUGUUAAGAAGACACUUUUAACCACAAAACCUCAAGGAACUCAUAACCAAUUCCUAAACAAGAAAACAGACAAAAGCACCAAAUACGGUAACCAAAAACAAUAUUGGGAUAUUUUGCUUUCAGCCACAAAAAAGAUAACAACUUACCAAAGUCAUUGAAUACACACUUCUUGAUUUCUGAAAAUUAUGUUGUUCAUUUCCUUAUAAAUAAUCCAUGCACGAAAAACAAAUAAUCUGCAUGAUAGAUCAACACAAUCUGGAUCUACCUGCUAAGUGACUAAAUUAAACAAAAAGAUCCAACAUACUAAAUGACUCAACUGAUGACAAGGCAGUCCAAUUAUGCACCAAUUGCCAAACCUGAUUAAACAAAUUACAUUUUGAUAAAAGAAAAAUGAUUUGAGGAUUCUAUUUCACCGCAUCCUCCUACACAAUUUUGAGAAUCUUAAGUAAUAAUGCCCCUUCUAAAAAUAUAAUCAUAUGUAGGAAGCCUAUUACGAAAAAGGCGUCAAGCUAACAAAGAAACCUUCACAGGGGCCUCAUUUUCCGAAAGUAAUUAUGAAGCAUAAUUAUUAGACUGUUGAUAUGACGAACACAAAAAUUGAUACGCACCACGAAAAGCAUAACUUAUAACUGGAUAUGAAUGCCACAACCAUUUGUCACCAACAUUAACCGUUAAAGUAAUAUCAUUAAGUAAACCGCUACACUAUGCUAACAACUCCUCCUCCACAUGCCCACAACCUUCUCCGCCACUUCCAAGCCUCACCUCCCUCCCUCCACCCAAAGAGAACGUACUAGCUACCGUCUCCCAUUUAUUCUAUGAUAAUUCAAACAACCUCGGAACCUUACGCACAAAGGGGUCUCCCCCAACCAUGGGCCCAACAAAAAAAAACGAAUAUGCCCCAUCUCUAACCUUCUGCCGUAAAUUAUCAUCAAACUUGCUCCCAACAGCUAAACUCACCCCAUUACGUAUCAUAACCAUCUCCCUCCACCAAGCUGACCCAUAACUGCGACCCUCUUUCACACGACCGCCUUCCACACCAUACCUUGCCUUCAUCACCCUAAACCAUAACCAUCCAUUAUCAAUUAGCAUCCUCCAACACCAUUUCCCCAACAGAGCAAUAUUAAAUUCUUUUAUUCUCCAACCCAAGAAAUUUUUCUAAAAUCCAAAAAAAAAAAACAUUCAAAAUUGAUUUAAUAGAGGAAAUGAUAUGUGAGGGAGCUUUCAAGAGUGAAAGAAAGUAGACCAGAAACGUGGAAAUGACAGAUUUCAAGAGGACUAACCGACCAAUCAGAGAUAAAUAUCUACUCUUCCAACCAAACAAACGAGCUUUAAUACAACUAAUCAACGGAUCCUAAAAAAUCAAACGUCGUGCAUCAGCGUCAACGAAAAAACCCAAAUAUACAAACGGCACUUCUAGACUUACACAAUUCAACACAAGAGAGGCCUCUGCUAACGACGACUCAUUUACAUUUACACCAACUAGAAGACUUUUAUUAUUUUAUUUGUAUACGAUGUUAAUUGUUUUGAACUAAUUUAUUUUGACACGAUCCACUUUAUCAAAUCAAACAUUGAUCAAUAUAGAGUGUGUUUAUUUCUAUAAUAUUAUCUCAAUUCGUAAAUGGCUGGCAUUAUUAUAAAGAUUAUUUACAAGCAACCUUUUGUCAACGUACCCCAAGUCUUUUAAACAUGGAAAAUCAUUAGACAAAUAUAUCUUUUUGACAAGUUAACGUAACUAUUAAAAGACCACAGUAGCAGUAACUCCUUUAAAAAAGAAAUUAACGAUAACACUAUUUUAUUUCGUUAAUUAGAUAGAUAAUGUUGAUUGUUCCAUUCCACGUGAAACAGAAAAACAACAUUCCUUCCAAAAAAAAAAACAUGUUUAAAUUAAUUUUGUAAAAUAAAAUUAUUUAAAUUAAUCUGUAAUAGAUAGGAGAAAUUAGUUCUAUAGAACUUAGUUCAGUUGAUAGGGACAUUGCAUCUUAUAUUUAGGAAUUAGGAUUCGAACCUCGAACACUCAAUUUCUCCACGUGUGCGAACUCUAUCCAUAGAUUACUUAAAAAAAGAUAGGAAUAAGUAAUGAAAUUAGUGGAUACACGUUGGUGGGAAUACAAACAUCUAAUUACAAAAUUUUGUCGUAAUUAAUUUCAUUACAUUUUUUAAUUUUUUUUCUUUUUUGACAAAAAUUGCGACAAAAUUUUGUAGUUGAAUGUUUGUAUUCCCACUAACGUGUAUCCACUAAUGUUAGUUACACGUUCUAAUUUUCUGUUAUAUAUUGUCAUUCGUUAUGUACUUUUCACAUUAACUUGCAUGAACUAAAAAUAACAAAAAUCUAUGACUCAUUGUGUCACUAUAAAAAAAAAAUCAUUCUGGCGUUACUUAUUUCACGAUAGAUGGUUACUUAAAUAAACACCUUAAAAAAUUGUCUCUAAAUAUGACACAUUUUUAAAUUGUACUUUACCAUAGGUCUUGCAAAAUCAAUAUAUGCAUAUAGAUAAAAUGUAUUUCAUCUAACUUAUAUCUACCACACAUAUUCAUCAUCCAAUAAAUGAAACAAAGAUAAUUAUUAUGUUUUUGCAAAAUUGAAUUCCUCAAAAGUCAAAAUCAAUUUAUAAGCUAAAAUUGGCUAUGUUUAAUGAGGUCAAUCUCCUGCUCAUGUGACUGGAGCUUUUCACAUUACAUGUUACACUUAACACAUGGAUAAACAUAACCAACUAAAAAACCGUAAAUCACUGACAAAAUUUAGAGAGGAAAAACAUGAAAUCCUUCUCUGAUCUCUAAUUUUGUUUCUUCAAAACUAUAGUAAAGGAAGGACUUGAAAUUUGAAGUAUUUCUAUGUUAAAGCAUCAUUGUCCUAAAUUCAUCAAAACUAAGGACCCCAUCUCCAUCAAUAUCAAAUUGAGAAAUCAUAGCUUGACAUUCAUCUACACUUCUACACUCACCCAAUCUUCCAAGCAUUCUCUUUAGACUCUUUGGUGUGAUGCAACCACAUCCUUCCAUUUCAUACAUCUUAAAAGCCUCUCUUAGGUCAUUUACUUUCUCUUCCUCUUUCCCUCCCUCUACAAACUUCACAAAAUCAUCCAACCCAAUCAACCCAUCCCCGUCCGAGUCGAGAAGCUCAACCGCCAUUUCCGCCUCCUCGUUUGACAUCUUUGCCCCGAUUGCCUCAACACAUUGCCGCAGCUCCGAUGAUGAUAUUUUUCCAUCUCCAUUUUCAUCAAAGUGGUUGAACACACGUAUGUAUUGAGUCACCUUGUCCAUGACCAUAUCUAUAUAAUUUGUGUGUGUAUCAAUAUAACUCUAUAUAGCUUCCAAAUUAAAUUGUACAAGAAUAUAGAUGAAGAAGAAGUUGAAAUAUUAAAACUUUAUAGCUUCCAAAUUAAAUUGUACAAGAAUAUAGAUGAAGAAGAAGUUGAAAUAUGUAAGUAUGAAGAGAUGAAUAGGUAAAUAUAUAAUGGUAGCAUUUAUAUAUGGUUUGUGGUGGGUUGACCCAAUAAUAACUUGCACGACCGGGUGUGAGAAACAUGCAAAUAUACUAAAGACUUCUUCAUUUAAUUUGUAUUUUUAUAUAUAUUUCGUCAUGCAUGAGCCAUUUUUGAAACAGUCAAAGAAUAUUGUACCACACAUACGAGUCCAUAUUCAAAUUUCUAAGUGAGAACAAUGAUGAAAAAUAUAGGAAUCAUAGUUGACCACAAAAAAUUCUUUAAAUCGAUGAAAAAAAUAUUAACCCACUUUGGUCGAAGUUUCUAUAGAAAAUUACAAAAUAAGUAGACCAUAAAGUCCAGUUGACAUAACUUAAAAAAUAAAUAAUAAUAAUAAUAAUAGUAAUCAUAAAAAUAAAAAAUAAAAAAACCACAUUUGGGUGUGUAGUUUUUUUUGUCACAUUAGUUAUGUCAAGAAAAAAUAAAGUGGUUUCAAAUUACCAAGUUUGUUCAUUUUAUAUAAAAUAUAUAAGUGUUGAUAUAGAUAUAAAUAGGUAUAGAACGUGUAACUAACAUUUGUCUCAAUCCUUCAAAAAAAAAUAUAGUUUUUCACUCACGUGGGAAAACAAACACCCAACUACAAUUUUUUUGUCGCAAUUACUACAGAUUAAUAUAACAUGUUGGUCAUGUGUUUCACGUGGAAUAAUAAAAAUUGUAUAUCUUAGUAAAAGAAAUAAAAUAAUGUUAUAAUGUUGCUAUAGCCUUUUAAUAAUUUUGUUAGCCUGUUAAAAUAUCCGGUGGCUAAACAAUUUUCCAUUUUUAAAGACUUGAUGAUGUGCUUAUGAGUAAAAAGAUAUAAAAUAAAGAUAUUUACCAAAAAAAAAUAUAUAAAAUAAAGACUUGGUGUGCGUUGAACAAAGAUUCAUUCUAAAUUGGGUUUCUGGUCCAUCCUUUAUUUAACAAAAAAGAAUUUACUUUUAAAUAACUUAACUUUAUCAUGCUUUCAUAAUUUUUUGAUCAUUGGCCUAAACUUCAUUUGAAAACUCGUAUACAUAAAAGAAAGAUUUGGUUUCGAUUUUUUUUUGUUUUUUUUUUUUAUGUUGAGAUUUGGUUUCGAUUGAUUGACCUAAACUUCACCUAAAAACUCGUAUACACAAAAGGAAGACUUGGUUUCGAACUAAACAACCACAAAAAAAUUAUUUAACUAAGAAUUUCGAAAUUGUUUCGUUUUCAAAAUUUGUACUUCCCUUUAUUUGGAUUAUAAGUAAAAUUUCUAAAUUUGUAUAUUAAUGAAAAUAUUAAUAUGAGAGCUAUAAAAGGGUGGAAGGAGAAGCAUGGAGCCUACUCACAACCAUAUAUACUAGAGUGUUUCUAUGAUCUCUUGGACCAAAGUUAUCUUUGAAAUUGUUUCCAAACUGGUGGUGGAAUAUAUAAAAUUUGAUUUUAGAAGUUAGAUGAUUUCGAGUUUGGUUCCGUUAUUCGAAAGUGUUUCGAACUCUUUAGAUGGAGCCGGUAGUCUCUUUGUGUAGGGAGCUUGUUUGAGUGUCUUUGAAUAGAACUUUUAGUCUGCUUUAUAAUCAUAUGUGUAUAAUCUCUUCGGCGGAGUAGGUUUGGUCCACCCUUUCUUUGGUUUUGGUCUCGAGAAGGGAGGGAGGUUUUUGGGUUUGUUUUUUGUUGUCUUCGGGGGAGGGAGGUUUUUUGUUUCUUUUUGGCGUUGUUGUUGUUUUAGCUUUAUCGAUGUGUUGCCAUUUCUUUUACUUUUCUUUUGAUAGAUCUUUUGGUCAUCUUUGAUGUUUCUAAUAUAUAUAUAUGCGUGCGCGUAUGCCAUUAAAAAAAAUCUUUUGUUAAGCUUAUUAUAAGUCAAGUCAAUAUGAUUUCUCGUAUUUUAGGUAGCAAAGACCGUUUCUCUCAAAAAAAAAAGGUAGCAAAGGCCGUUGUACCUAUGCCUAGAUGUCAUACUUACUUUAAAUUACAUUUCAAAUUGUAUUGCUAAAACUCUUUCUGCCAAAAUAAAAAGAACUUUAAUUUCGUUAAUUUUGAAUUUCAAGCAUCUUGAAAGUCAAUUGGCAUAAGAACUAAUCCCUUAAAGUUGUAGAUUAUCUCCAAACAAAUUCAGCUUUAUUUUCUUCAUCAAAAUUCAAACCUUGAACAUAUGAUCAAAUUAAAGAUCUCAAACUACUAGUUUUUCUCUCUCUUUCUAAUAGAGCUACUAGUCACUUAGACUAUGCUACCAUUUGUAUUAGGAAAAAGAAGGUUCGUUAUUAACCACCAACAAAACCCACAUUUAAAGAAUAGAGUGUGCAGAUAGCAGAAUAAAAAUUAUCAAACCAAACAAAAUUGGGUUUCCAAAGAGCUAAUCUAGCAAGCCCAUAAUCUGCUAGGUACAUGUACGACCCACAAAAAUUAGAAGAUUGCUUUUUAGGCCCCCCAGUUUCUCUUUAGGCUCCCUAAAAAUCCAAAAUUACUCUUUUAUAAGACGUCCGGUACAUAGAAUCCGGUAGUUUAUUUUUGCCUUUCCAUAUUUCACAACUCCUGAAUGUACAUACCGGAUGCAUGUUUACAAAUUGCACAUUCAUCACAUCCGGUAGUUAGAGUUCAGAUGAAAGAAGAGAAAGAAGAACGUGAAUGAAUCUGUAAGAAGUGUGAUUGAUGCUGACCUAUCUUUGAGACUGCAACACACGAAGCAAAAAUGUCGAAGAACGACCUCGUAAGAGAAAGAGACGACAAGAUGCUCACCUUUACCUUAAAAUAAAAGAAGUGUUUGGUUUGUAAACGUAGAAAAUGAUCCUCCAGUAUGUACCCACUGAACUGUUCGGUAUUUAUAUAUAGUUCGCAUAAAAAAGGUCAAUAUCGUAAUUUUGUGGGACCUGUAGAGAUAUAAGGGGGGCCUAAAAAGUAACCCUCCAAAAAUUAAACUUGAAAGACUACACCUUUUUUUUAGGCAAAGACUACACCUUCUUGAUUUUACAUAAAUUGUUUUUGUAAUAAUUAUGAAUUUUAUACGUGGUAAUGUUGAAGAUUAUAUCUAUUUCCUAUUUGAAAAGUCCUACAACCUUGUGUUUUUUGUCAAGGUUCAAGAGGAGCGUACCAUUAUCAUUUACUUACAAGGGCAGCACAACUACUUUUGUGCCCUAAAGCGAACUUUAAGUGAAGCAUAAAUUCUCAAAUAGGUUUAAAUUAAAGAAAAAAAGAAUUAAAGAUUUUGAAUAGGAAAAACUAAUAGUAUAAUUAAAGACACUCAAUUUAAAACUAAAAAACAUGAUUUAUUGAAAGAAAAAAAAUAAAUGACACCAAAAAUGAAUUAAGUUAAAAAAUAUAAAUAAAAUUAUGGUAUGGCUCACAUAUUUUAGUCUUUAUCCUGUUUGAAUGUAAUGAAAACAAAAAGGCUUACAAGUGGCUUACAUUAAAAUAUCAGUUUGUAGAUUCCUUUGUUAAAAUAUAAUCAUAUAACAAAUUAUUUGGGAGAACCUGAUAUUAACUUUAAAUGAAAUAAUUCUUCAUCUGAAUAACAAAGGUCAUUCUUCUUUGAAUAUGGUUAACACCAACAACAAAAAAGUCCAUAAGUUAAGUAUUUUUUUUUUCAAUAAUGUAAAUAAAAAACAUUUUUGGCGAGGUUGUUUUUAGUGAGCUAGUUUUUCGAAGAACAAAUCCCUUAUUUUAGGGGUUGAGUCUUGGGUCGAGUCAAUACCAACAAAAAUAAUUCGAUUAAAACUUAUAAUUAAAGUAAAAUAUUUUAUUGGGAUAAAAUUUUCAUUAAAAAUUUGUGAUAUUGUAAAAACCAAAAACAUAUUUAAGAUUUUACAAGUCUUAUUGCCUUGAUUGAUUUGGCCAACUGUCGUUUUCUGAUUCGGAGCGGUGGCGCUAGGAGGAGGCGUCGUCAAUGGUGUCGUCGUUUGCGGUGUUUGUAGAUCCAAUUCUACCGACAGUAAUUCCUUGUUGCGGGUUUCCUUUUGGGUUGUUGUAACCUCUCCUUGCACUGUGAUUAAUCCUCCUUCAUCGGGCUCUAUUUGCCUGGCCGUCGCAAGGUUCAUGGUGGGUGGAUGAGGGUGGUUCGUGGAGUGGUUGUGGGUUGUCUAUUCUAGGAUACUGCUAGUUUGGUGGCAGACUCUUCACGGUGGUUUUGUGUUUUUUCUUGUCAUUGUGUUUCGUUUCGUCGGUUGCUAUUUGUUUGCCGCCGGCGGGCUUUUGUAUUUGUGGGUCUCGGACGGGUUGUGAAUCCACGAUCUGAGUGAUUCAAAAACCCGAAAGAGUAUGGUUCUGUGUGAUUUAAAAACCCACAAGGGUCUGGUUCUUCUAACCCGGAAGGUUCUGGUUACUAACUUAUUGGACUCAUCCCUCGAUCUGAGUUCUUACGCGUGAAGUUCGAUCUAGUUGAAGAAGGAGUAGUUGGCACUUGGAUUCUGAUACUGUGUUGGUGGUCAAUCCAUUCACAUUUUUAAACCCUUAUUGUUUCUUACACAUCUCCAGUCUUCAUAUUUUUUGUAACUUGAUUUGGCGCAUGUACACGGGUUCGCUAGGUUGCACCUGUGAUUAGUGAAUUUGUGUUCGAAUAGAUUAAAGUUGAUCCACUUGAUAUGUUUUAUCAUGAUGUAUUUUCGUUUGGAUUGUUUUUGUGUCAGGUUUAAUGUGUCCCCAAUUUUUGUAUCACUUUCUUUUUUUCUUUUUUGGGUCAAUGUAUCACUUCCUUUUUAAUUAAUAUAAUUUUUUCUUUUGCUUAAAAAAAUGCUUUGGCCAGCAGCUCCAACAUUGGACAAAGUUGUGUUCGACUCUUAGGUCGUUUUUUUUUUUUUUUUUUGUUGAAAGGACUCCUAUUGUGUAUUUGUUUGUGGCAAUUAUACGAUGAAACUUAAUUCAAUCUAAAAAAACCCCAAAUAUCUCUUAAAAAUGAAAAAACUAAAUAUAUUUCGAUGAAAUGAAAUGAAUGAUGACCCAGAUAUGCAUAUGGCUUCACCACUUUUAUUAUUUUAAGUCAAAUAUAUUUAUUUUUAUAAGAGGGUAUAACAACGUUUUUUUUUUUAGGGAUAAGAGGGUUAACAACUAUGAAACAUAGAUUCCUUAAAAAAAAUUAUGAAACAUAGAUGUAACAAAAAAAAAAAACUAUGAAACAUAUAAACUUUGAUACGAUACUGAUACAAUAUGACGUUAAUAGAGGAAAAUUAUAAAAUUCAAAGAUACGAUGCGGUCGAGAUACUUUGAUAAAAGAAUAAAAUUUGAAAUAAAUAUCUAAAUGCACAAUAAAUAAAUAUAAGUAAUAUUCCCGUCAUAAAAAAUAAAUAAUCUUGAUUAUAAAAAAAAAAUGACAAUUAGUCAAUUAGACAAUUACAUAUAUCCAAAAAAAAUAAUAUCAUUGCUUAAUCAAUUAAAUAUAUCUCAAAAAGAGAAUAUCAUCCUAAAAAUAUCAUUAUCCAAUGUAUAUAUUAUAAGGUAUUUUUAUUAUUUUUUUUAAGAAUGAAAAGAAAUUAGAAAAAUUGAGUCACGUUACACAACCAAAUGUUGGUGGCAUAAUCUUUAAAGGGGGUAAAACACAAAAAAAAAAAGAUAAAGAUUAGGGAUGCACUUAUGUCUUCAAGUAGUGGAUAAAAGCUUCUUUAAGUUAAAUUUGUUCUUAUCCAUUUCAAAACAUUGGGUGCAACUUGUGGCUAAUCAUGAAUAUAUGUUUCUUUUAUUCAUAUAAAAUGCCACUAUGAAUAAAAGAUUUAAUAAGUUAUUCAAGGAAGAAAGUAAAGCAUAAGGACGUGAAAAAAAAAAGUAAAGCAUAAGGUGCAAACACUUUUAUAUCAUGUCAGGAAGAGAGAAAUUAUAUGCUAUUGUAUUUAACAAAAUAUUUUGUUGGUUUAAUAGGAGGCAAAAGCCAUUCUAACUACUCAUAAUUUUUUUAUUUUUAUUUUUUGCCUGGAUUUGAACCCCGAACUUUGUAUAUAUUAUGCAUUAUCCAUACCAACUGAGCUAUGCUCACGAGGACAACUACUUGCAUUGAGUACAUUAUUAAUUUCUUUAAGACUUCAAGUUUUGAUUAAAAAAAUCUCUUCAAAUCGUUAAGCAUAAAAAUCUUUGGACAAAUAACAAGGAAGUACUUCAUCCGUCUCAAAUAAAUACAAAAAUUGAUCAAUAAAAUUUAAUAUAUUUGGUCCGAAAUUUGUACUAAAUACAUUAAUUUAUGUUGAUCUAUUUUUACUUAUAUUUUUGAACGGAUAGUAUAAAGAUAUUUUUAAUGAAAAGUUAUUUGUCACUAAACUUAAUAGGACACAAGGCGUUAAACCAAUGUUUUAAAUAUCAAUUAAAACUAGAUAAAAAUAGAUAAGAGAAACGAUUAAGGACGAAUCUUACAAUUUGCAAACUCAAAUUUGUGCAAAUAGAUAAAAAUUUAGAGGUUUCAAGAAGUUUGGAUUUUUAUUUGAAAUGAUGUCAAGAGUAAUAAUAUUUGUUUGAUAGGGGGAAGACAGUGUAGAUGAGAUGAUUUAAUAGAUAAGACUUUGUGUAUUAUGUCAAAAAGAGAAUUUAAAAUGAGUAAUUUUAAUGAAAACUAUUUCAUUUUUUUAGGCAAGGAGAGAGAACAGACAUCAACAUGAAACAGCGACAUUUCAAUUAGGUUGGCACCCCGCGAAACCUCCAUCCUAUGCCGCUAAACUCUAAAAUUUUAUUAAAAAAAAGGGAAAAAUAUAUACAAAAAGAGGGGGGACUAGGCCAAAACCCUCGUAAGAAAAUAAAUAGAAAAAGAAAAUUACAGCAGACUGCAAUGAACUAAGGGAACAUGUAGUUAGGCAAGCCAACUUUAUCACGAAAGAAAUCCAGAUGUAACUCCGUCGGGGCGUAUCUAACCAAACUGAACCCUGGAUAGCAAUAGCAUGACCCAUAUUCGCUAACCUGUCAGCACAACAAUUACCUUCGCAAAAUAUAUGGGACGAAAUAAUAUGAAUACCAAGGCUAUGAGCGUUAUGCCAUUUGUUCCGAAGCAUAAAAGGAACUAAGGAGGGAUUCGAAAAAAUCAACAAGACACUAGUUGAAUCACUUUCCAUCCAGACAUUCCGCCAUCCGUGUUGAGCCGCAUGCUCCAUAUCUAAGAUGAAAGUAAAAACUUUCAUCUUAAUAAUGUACAUAAAUAUAAAAUAAAAUUAAUAAACAAUAAAUACAUGUUCUCAUUAAUAUUGUUAUCAACGAUUAUAAUUUAUUUAUUUUAUCCUCUAUGCUAUGCAUGUGACAAAUCAUAAAGUUUUAGGUCAUGUCUUUAGUUGGUAGAAAUUUUAAUAUGGUUAAAGCUUAAAUAUAUUUUAUUCUAUAUAUUAAUUGAAAAUAUAUUAGUUAUGUUUUUUUUUAUUAAUUACAAAUAUAAAAACUUAAACCAAAAAGUAAACUAUAACUUACAUGACAAAAAAUAUCCAAGAGCUUAGAAUGAGAUUUUAAGAGUUCUUUUUAAGCUUUAUCAGAGAUCUUGGGUUCAUUAUAAAAAAAAAAAAAAAAUCUUGUGUUCAAAUUUGGUGUUAAAUUUUUUAAAGGAGAUCGUUUCUACCCAAUGCAUUUCUACCCGGCUCGAAUGUUUAGUUAUUAAUUUAUUUUUAUUCUUCUUGUAGGUCCUAAAAUACUUUCAUGUAGCGCGGUUAUGUCCCUUCUAAAGUCAAAUUUGUUUAACAAACCUUACACUCUUCAAUUAUUGAAUGAAUUUUAGUAAAAAUGUCUAGAAGAUUAUAAAAUUUCAUUUACUAAUAUUUCUAAUCUCUUAAUAUAAUAUGGAUUAAACAUGAAUUUUCUAAAUAUCAAAAGUUCAAGAUAAAAGUAAACAAAAUCAGAACAUUGAAACCAAAUUUUAAACUUGUUUUUUGUGUAUACUUUUUUUUUAUAAUGUUCUAACCAUUAAUGGAGUUAAAUAAUUAUUUAAUACAUUUUUACAAUAAAUGAAGGACUUAAACUAUGUGCAGGAAUUUUUUUAGUGACAAAAUAGAAUAAAAAUAAAAUACAUAAUGUACUAUUUUUUGAAGAAAAAUACAUAACAUACUUAACUGGCUAUAUUUUGUAGGGUAAAAACAUAUUUAAUCAAGAAAAUCAUCAAUAAAAGCAACACUAGUGCUCAAUUUACAACUAUAAUAUAUGAGAUUUGAACUAUUUACCAAGAUGUUACAAAUACAAGAAGAAAAUAGUUAAACAGAAUGAAUAUCCAAGGUACAUUUUUGCUUUUGUUAUGAAGUGGGACAUUGUGGAUCCUUUCAAGAUGAUUUUGGUUAUCUUUCUUUCUCUUUGAGCUCUUGUUUUGUGCUCUAAAUAAGCAUUCAUUGAUGAUAUUUCCUCUCCAAGAUGAUCCAAUGCUUGAUUCACCAAUGUCCUAUCAUAUAUGCGGAAAUAUCACAAAAGUGAGAGGAACAACACAAUAAUGAGAUGCCGUUGGAAAAGGUGACCCAAGGACUACAAGCACAUAUUUUAUAAUAAGUAGUUUUAACAAUCUAUAUUUAAUCAAAGAAAUUACACUCAUAUUAAAAUUUUUGUUAAUCUUUAUCAUAAUGAACAAUAGACCCAAUAAAACAAAGAAGACGAACAAACAUGACAUCAUUAAUGACUUCCAUUGUAUCAUCCCUGGAAAAAUGAUGCAAAAAUUCAGGAGUUUUUCUCCCAUGGCAAUGGAUCCAGGGAGACAAAAUGGCAAUGCUUUAGAUGAUUAAGAAACAAAAACAAAAAAAAUUGUUUGAAAUUAGUGAAGCAACAUUCUCACAAUUUUUAAAGGUUUGAAGAAAUUGGAUUUG
rnacentral:lncRNA from 1 species